AUGGAUUGGCGAUACUUGGAAAUCUACGACGACACGAAAGAUCCAUGUGGACUAAUGUACUACAAAGGCAUCUACCAUAAUUUCUACCAGUAUAACUCCCACUGCGCCCUCUGGUGUUGGGGUGACAUAACUUGGGGCCAUUCGGUUUCGACAGACCUUGUCAACUGGAUCCAGCUUGAACCCGUGAUAGAACCGGAUAACCCUAGUGACAUAGACGGCUGCUGGACCGGUUCAGCCACAAUUCUAUCUGGUGGUCAACCGGUCAUCUUAUACACCGGUGGUAGCAGAGACAAGUGUCAGGUCCCAAACCUUGUGCUUCCCAAGAACCCGUCUGACCCGUACCUGAGAGAAUGGACCAAAACCGGCAAUAACCCAGUGAUCCAGCCGUGCCUGGAUUUCUUUGCGGUAUUGCCGGGCAAUAACAGUGGACUGGACAUGUCCGUAGCGAUCCCAAGAGGCGCCAAGCAUGCCCUCAAAAUGAGCAUGGGUUACUUUGACAAGUACUUGAUUGGGGUGUAUGAUCUCAAACGUGAUGCCUUUGUGCCAGAUACUAUCGUAGAUGACUGUCGGCUGUGGUUGAAGAUUGAUUACGGCAAUUUCUAUGCUUCGAAGUCAUUCUUCGACUCGAAAAAGGGCAGGAGGAUCAUAUGGGGUUGGUCUAAGGAAGCAGAUUGUCGUUCAGAUGAUGUUGCAACAGGUUGGGCAGGAAUCCAUACAAUCCCGAGGACGAUUUGGUUAGACAGUGAUGGCAAGCAGUUGCUGCAAUGGCCAGUUGAUGAGAUUGAAUCCCUUCGAACAAAUGAAAUCAACCAUCAAGGACUAGAGUUCAACAAGGGAGAUCUGUUUGAGAUCAAUGGAGUUGACAAUUUUCAGGCGGAUGUGGAGAUAGAUUUUGAGCUGACGUCCAUCGAUGACGCCGAUCCUUUUGAUCCUUCAUGGCUUUUGGACGCCGAGAAGCAUUGUUGUGAAGCAGGUGCAUCGGUUCAUGGUGGUAUAGGGCCAUUUGGACUUGUUAUUCUGGCCUCCAACAACAUGGAGGAGCACACUACCGUGCACUUCAGAGUCUACAAGUCACUGCAAAAGUCUUCCAUGAGACCAGGACUCUGCACACCAGCCUAUGGACGCUUCUUUGAAUUUGAUCUUGAAAAGGAAAGGAAAAUAUCUUUGAGAACUCUGAUUGAUCGAUCUGCGGUGGAGAGCUUUGGUGGUGGUGGCAGUGUCUGCAUCACGGCUAGAGUUUAUCCGGUGUCGCUUGUCGAUGACGGCGGGGCCCAUAUGUAUGUCUUCAACAAUGGAAGUACCAUGGCCAGGGUGCCGCAGCUCAGGGCAUGGAGCAUGAGGAAAGCACAAGUGAAUGUGGAGAAGGGUUGA
rnacentral:rRNA from 1 species